GACGAACGCUGGAGGCGUGCUUAACACAUGCAAGUCGAACGAUGAAAUGGAGCUUGCUCCAUGGAUUAGUGGCGAACGGGUGAGUAACACGUGAAUAACCUGCCCUUAAUUUUGGAAUAACCCAGGGAAACCUGGGCUAAUACCGGAUAAGUAAACCUGUGGCAUCACAUGGUUUUGGAAAGUUUUUCGAUUAAGGAUGGAUUCGCGGCCUAUCAGCGUGUUGGUGAGGUAAUGGCUCACCAAGGCGACGACGGGUAGCCGGCCGGGAGAGGGUGAACGGCCACACUGGGACUGAGACACGGCCCAGACUCCUACGGGAGGCAGCAGUGGGGAAUAUUGCGCAAUGGACGAAAGUCUGACGCAGCGACGCCUCGUGAGGGACGAAGGUCUUCGGAUUGUAAACCUCUUUCAGCAGGGACGAAGCGAAAGUGACGGUACCUGCAGAAGAAGCACCGGCUAACUAUGUGCCAGCCGCCGCAGUAA
rnacentral:rRNA from 1 species